CUGGAAGGGAUGUGGCCAAAAGGGAACCCUCCUACAUUGUUGGUUGGAGUGUAAACUUGUUCAACCACUCUGGAAAGCAGUGUGGAGGUUCCUCAAAAGGCUAAACAUAGAACUCCCCUUUAACCCAGCAGCCUUGCUUUUGGGCAUCUUCCCAAACGAUUACAAGCAAGACUACACUAAAGCCACCAGCACACUAUGUUCAUUGCAGCACAAUUUGCCAUCGCUAAAAUAUGGAACCAACCCAAAUGUCCUUCAGUAGAUGAGUGGAUCAAGAAAA